GUCCCAUUCAUCACCCAGUGGCGUGAACACUGCUGAUAUGCCUACAGUCAAAGUUAUAAGUAGGUGGACCCUCAUGGCUUAUUGUUCCAGGGUUGUCGGGACAGCCUUUACUCUUUUACAAUGUGAGGCGUGGAUCCAGGUAAGCCUCCCUUCGAGUUUCACAGAGGUCGGGAUAGUCAGCAACAUCUUCUAACCACGAUAAAAG